UUAUGACCAUAUUAACUUGAAACACCGGUUCCCGUAAAGUCACCGAAGUUAAGCAAACUCGAGCCUGGCCAGUACCUAGUACCUAGAUGGGUGACCGCAUGGGGACAACGGGUGAUGUAAG